GCUGAAAUAGUUCAGUUGGGAGAUUGUUACACGGAAAAUCUAAAGGUCCCUGGUUCAAUACCGGAUUUCAGCA